rnacentral:tRNA from 1 species
GGGGGUAUGGCUUAGUACUAGAGCACUUAUCUAGCAUAUGUGAGGCUCUGGGUUCAAUCCUCAGUACCACAU